GAUGAAGAACGUAGCGAAAUGCGAUACGUAAUGUGAAUUGCAAAUUCAGUGAAUCAUCGAGUCAUUGAACGCACAUUGCGCCCCCUGGUAUUCCGGGGGGCAUGCCUGUCCGAGCGUCAUUGCUGCCCUCAAGCACGGCUUGUGUGUUGGGCCCCGUCCUCCGAUUCCGGGGGACGGGCCCGAAAGGCAGCGGCGGCACCGCGUCCGGUCCUCGAGCGUAUGGGGCUUUGUCACCCGCUCUGUAGGCCCGGCCGGCGCUUGCCGAUCAACCCAAAUUUUUAUCCAGGUUGACCUCGGAUCAGGUAGGGAUACCCGCUGAACUUAAGCAUAUCAAUAAGCGGAGGA
rnacentral:misc_RNA from 1 species